GCUGGGCAUGGUGGCACGUGCCUGUAGUCCCAGCUACUCAGGAGGCUGAGGCAGGAGAAUCGCUUGAACCCAGGAGGCAGAGGUUGCAGUGAGCCGAGAUUGUGCCACUGCAACUCCAGCCUGGGCGACAAAGUGAGACUCUGUCUCAA
ensembl:misc_RNA Metazoa_SRP Metazoan signal recognition particle RNA